UAGGGAAUCUUGCGCAAUGGGCGAAAGCCUGACGCAGCAACGCCGCGUGGGGGAUGAAGGCUCUCGGGUUGUAAACCCCUUUCAGUCAGGGAGCGAAAUUGAACGGUACCUGCAGAAGAAGCCCCGGCCAACUACGUGCCAGCAGCCGCGGUAAUACGUAGGGGGCGAGCGUUGUCCGGAUUCAUUGGGCGUAAAGAGCUCGUAGGCGGCUUGGCAAGUCGGAUGUGAAAACUCCAGGCUCAACCUGGAGCCGCCAUUCGAUACUGCUAUGGCUAGAGUCCGGUAGGGGAGUGUGGAAUUCCCGGUGUAGCGGUGAAAUGCGCAGAUAUCGGGAGGAACACCGAUGGCGAAGGCAGCACUCUGGGCCGGCACUGACGCUGAGGAGCGAAAGCGUGGGGAGCGAACAGGAUUAGAUACCC
rnacentral:rRNA from 1 species